GAUAUGUGUGUUUAAUUCAAUUAAAUGGAGAUUAAAUUUAAGAACUCCUUUCAAAAAGCGAUUUCCUGGCAGUGACAAGUAGUAACUGCAAAAGAAGAAUACUACAUGGGAGAUAACGUCAGGCCAGAUCCCACCGGGUGCUGUGCACCGCACACUCUGCCUGCAGAGGUCCUGCAGAUCACCUUGAUGGCACAAAGGCCCAUAAAAACCUGUGAAGCAAAGCAGUCUGCCAGGGACAAGCAAGGCUUACUUUAAUGCUCAUUGCCUUUGGAAUUGACCUAUCAGGUAUCUGAUUAUCUAGCUGGUCUUGUCCCAUGGCAGAAUCUCCAAACCCUAUGCAUUUGCAGGAUAAAUUGUUAACCCCGAAUUUUUCUCUCUUUGGAGCUCAUAAAAUCCACAGCAGAAGAGCUCAGAACCACAACGGGGGUAUCUGCCUUGCAGUAAUUGAACUGUCUGAUGUCUUGUACUUAGGCAUCCUAUGCCUUCAUCCGUACCUAGUUCUAAAAGGGCCCGUUUCCAUGACAUCAGGAAACUCUUGUCUUCCAGGACAGAGGAGAAUGGAAUGUUUCAUGAUUAAUGACACUAUCUAAAUACUGGCACAAGCUGGCAAGCUCUUGCAAAGGAGGCGUGUUUGACUGCAUUCUGCCCAGCACAACAGCUCAUUAAGCAAUAUUUUCCCCAUUAAUGUUUAGUAUUAAACACUGAAUGAAAGACUAAAUAUCAUACGAAAAAACAAAUUGAAAACAGCACAGUGGGGUUUAGGGUAAGCAGCCAACAACCUCCCCUUCAUUUGGAAGACAGCUUGCAUACCUAUUCCAAAGAUUAAUGAGCAAUCAGUUCCAAAUUAAACCAAGACCUGCAUUGAAAUCUUUUUUUUUUUUUCCCCCUCUGUUGAAAGCAUGGCUGUGAGUUACACUAACUGAGAUAAAAUACAGUAUUAGCCUUUC